AGGGAUUGCUUGGCCAGUGGCUAUGGAAAGAGGAGUACUGGCUGCCUCCAGGGUUUACCUGGAAGGACAUAGAGAUGCAGGAGGGGGACCGGUACCCUCUACCCCAGGACCUGCUCUACACCCUGCCUCUGGCCCUGGGCUUCAUUGCCCUGCACUAUGUAUUUGAGAGAGUGAGGUCCUGGGCCUGGGGAAGCAGUGUAGUCUCAGUCAGCGACAGAUGGAAACGUGGUUUCACCAUCGCCGAAACCAACACAGACCGAGCAACACCAAGAAGGCUUACCCCCUAGUUCUGGGACCACAGCGAGUGCUGGCGAGGCUACCCAAAACAACCUGUCGCUGAGGCUCACUAUUGGUAUUACAUCAGAGCUUGGUUUCUAUUGGUCCCUGCUGUUCUGUGGAUGUAAAGCGGAAGGUAUGUGUCACUUCUGUCAUCUCACACAAACUCUCCUGUCCCCUCACACAAACUACUCUCAUUUAGCAGAUGCUCGAUUUACAAUCAGUGCAUUAAUCUUAAAAUAGCUAGGUGAGACAACAUUAAAGAUGUGAACACAUAUUUUUAUGACCUAAUGAUUAAUUGUUAUCUAAGAGGAUGUUUGUUUCAGUAU